rnacentral:rRNA from 1 species
AUGGCCAUCUUCUACGAGUUCUAUGUUGGGUCCAUCGACCUCGGGCGCCUCAACUAUGGGAUCAUUUCACUCAUCCCCAAGGUACCUGGAGCUUCCGAUAUCCGACAGUUUCGUCCGAUCAUGGUCAUCAAUGUGAUUUUCCGGAUUUUGGCAAAAGGGUACGCAUUUAGGGUGACCUUGCUGGCCGAUCACAUUACCCACCCCAACCAGUCCGCCUUCAUUCAAGGGCGGUAUAUCCUGGAUGGGGUGCUAGUUCUUCAUGAAGUCCUCCAUGAGGUCCGGUCUAAGCACCUGAUGGCGUUUUUCCUGAAGAUCGAUUUCCAUAAGGCGUAUGACACUGUUAGUUGGCCCUUCCUUCGGGAUGUUCUG